UACGAAGGGUGCAAGCGUUAAUCGGAAUUACUGGGCGUAAAGCGUGCGUAGGCGGUUGGCUAAGUCAGAUGUGAAAUCCCCGGGCUUAACCUGGGAACUGCAUUUGUGACUGCAUGGCUGGAGUGCGGCAGAGGGGGAUGGAAUUCCGCGUGUAGCAGUGAAAUGCGUAGAUAUGCGGAGGAACACCGAUGGCGAAGGCAGCUCGCUGGAACGGUACUGACGCUGAGGCGCGAAAGCGUGGGGAGCAAACAGG
rnacentral:rRNA from 1 species